rnacentral:antisense_RNA from 1 species
GUUUAUGGGCGGGCUGAACAGGGAGCCGCAAGGCUCGCAAGUGCCUCACUUGUCUUCCAACCUGUUCAGUUUCCGCCCACCAUG